UACAGAGGUCCCAAGCGUUGUUCGGAUUCAUUGGGCGUAAAGGGUGCGUAGGUGGCGUCGUAAGUCGGGUGUGAAAUCUCGGGGCUUAACUCCGAAACUGCAUUCGAUACUGCGGUGCUUGAGGACUGGAGAGGAGACUGGAAUUUACGGUGUAGCAGUGAAAUGCGUAGAGAUCGUAAGGAAGACCAGUGGCGAAGGCGGGUCUCUGGACAGUAACUGACGCUGAGGAGCGAAAGCGUGGGGAGCGAACAGG
rnacentral:rRNA from 1 species